CAAUAGCGUAUACUAAUGUUGUUGCAGUUAAAAAGCUCGUAGUUGAACUUCUGGUAGGAGUGUCCCGGCCUUUUUGUUUUUACAAAUUGUAUGCUGUGUGACAUCUCUGGCCAUCCUUCUUCUUUGUUUAAAGAAGAUCUUUCACUGUAAAAAAAUUAGGGUGUUCAAAGCAAAAGUUUCUUUGGAGUAUAUUAGUAUGGGAUGAUAAGAUAGGCUCUAGAUGCUAUUUUGUUGGUUUGCACAUUUAGAGAAUGAUUAACAGGGACAGUUGGGGGUAUUCGUAUUUACAUGUCAGAGGUGAAAUUCUUGGAUUUUGGAAAGACGAACUACUGCGAAAGCAUUUACCAAGGAUGUUUUCAUUAA
rnacentral:rRNA from 1 species